rnacentral:lncRNA from 1 species
CCAGAUGUUACCACAUCUUUGGCACAAGAAAACCUUGUUGACUAUUCUGAGUCUGAUGAGAGUCCCCCACCUAAGGCUACUGAUAAAGAAACUGUUCCUGAUAAAGUUGUGAAUGAAACUCCUGAGGUUAUAAUUGUUAAUGAAAAUGAAACUACUGUUAGUGAUAAGGCUGUGCCUACAAAUUCUGAGGCUAGUGUGGCUAGAAGGACUAGAAGUAAGGCUGGUAAAGGGG